GCUCUGGUAGCUUAGUAGUAGAGCAUCCGCCUUGGAUGCAGGAAGUCGCGUGUUCGAACCCCCGCCGAGUUGUA